UCAGAAGUGCGAAUGCUGACAUAAGUAACGAUAAAGCGGGUGAAAAGCCCGCUCGCCGGAAGACCAAGGGUUCCUGUCCAACGUUAAUCGGGGCAGGGUGAGUCGACCCCUAAGGCGAGGCCGAAAGGCGUAGUCGAUGGGAAACGGGUUAAUAUUCCCGUACUUGGUGUUACUGCGAAGGGGGGACGGAGAAGGCUAUGUUGGCCGGGCGACGGUUGUCCCGGUUUAAGCGUGUAGGUGUGUGUUCCAGGUAAAUCCGGUUCACUUUAACACUGAGGCGUGACGACGAGGCACUACGGUGCUGAAGCAACAAAUGCCCUGCUUCCAGGAAAAGCCUCUAAGCAUCAGGUAACAUCAAAUCGUACCCCAAACCGACACAGGUGGUCAGGUAGAGAAUACCAAGGCGCUUGAGAGAACUCGGGUGAAGGAACUAGGCAAAAUGGUGCCGUAACUUCGGGAGAAGGCACGCUGACACGUAGGUGAAGUGAUUUACUCAUGGAGCUGAAGUCAGUCGAAGAUACCAGCUGGCUGCAACUGUUUAUUAAAAACACAGCACUGUGCAAACACGAAAGUGGACGUAUACGGUGUGACGCCUGCCCGGUGCCGGAAGGUUAAUUGAUGGGGUCAGCGCAAGCGAAGCUCCUGAUCGAAGCCCCGGUAAACGGCGGCCGUAACUAUAACGGUCCUAAGGUAGCGAAAUUCCUUGUCGGGUAAGUUCCGACCUGCACGAAUGGCGUAAUGAUGGCCAGGCUGUCUCCACCCGAGACUCAGUGAAAUUGAACUCGCUGUGAAGAUGCAGUGUACCCGCGGCAAGACGGAAAGACCCCGUGAACCUUUACUAUAGCUUGACACUGAACAUUGAGCCUUGAUGUGUAGGAUAGGUGGGAGGCUUUGAAGUGUGGACGCCAGUCUGCAUGGAGCCGACCUUGAAAUACCACCCUUUAAUGUUUGAUGUUCUAACGUGGACCCGUUACCCGGGUUGCGGACAGUGUCUGGUGGGUAGUUUGACUGGGGCGGUCUCCUCCUAAAGAGUAACGGAGGAGCACGAAGGUUGGCUAAUCCUGGUCGGACAUCAGGAGGUUAGUGCAAUGGCAUAAGCCAGCUUGACUGCGAGCGUGACGGCGCGAGCAGGUGCGAAAGCAGGUCAUAGUGAUCCGGUGGUUCUGAAUGGAAGGGCCAUCGCUCAACGGAUAAAAGGUACUCCGGGGAUAACAGGCUGAUACCGCCCAAGAGUUCAUAUCGACGGCGGUGUUUGGCACCUCGAUGUCGGCUCAUCACAUCCUGGGGCUGAAGUAGGUCCCAAGGGUAUGGCUGUUCGCCAUUUAAAGUGGUACGCGAGCUGGGUUUAGAACGUCGUGAGACAGUUCGGUCCCUAUCUGCCGUGGGCGCUGGAGAACUGAGGGGGGCUGCUCCUAGUACGAGAGGACCGGAGUGGACGCAUCACUGGUGUUCGGGUUGUCAUGCCAAUGGCACUGCCCGGUAGCUAAAUGCGGAAGAGAUAAGUGCUGAAAGCAUCUAAGCACGAAACUUGCCCCGAG
rnacentral:rRNA from 2 species